rnacentral:tRNA from 1 species
GCCUCCAUAGCUCAAUUGGUUAGAGCAGGAUCCUCUUAAGAUCAAGGUUCCGCGUUCGAGUCGCGGUGGAGGCA